UGCAUAGCCAUGGCUAAGCAAGUGGAUCAGGAAACCUAGGACACAACUCCGAUUUGAGGAUUGAGCAGAACAAUGUGUGAGGGAGAAGUAUAUUCUGUUUCUAUUGGGCUGGCGAUGGAUAUCUAGAUUCAGCUGAGCUCCACAGACCGACCUAGCUAACUGUCCAAGGUCCAAAACCUAAUCAGUUGGUCCGACUCCGACGUCGUUUUUCCACAGGUGCA
rnacentral:misc_RNA from 1 species